rnacentral:rRNA from 1 species
AGCGUGGGUAGCAAACAGGAUUAGAUACCCUGGUAGUCCACGCCGUAAACGAUGACAACUAGCCGUUGGGAGGAUUUACCUCUUAGUGGCGAAGCUAACGCGUUAAGUUGUCCGCCUGGGGAGUACGGCCGCAAGGUUAAAACUCAAAGGAAUUGACGGGGACCCGCACAAGCGGUGGAGCAUGUGGUUUAAUUCGAUGCAACGCGAAGAACCUUACCUGGUCUUGACAUACACGGAACUUUCCAGAGAUGGAUUGGUGCCUUCGGGAACCGUGAUACAGGUGCUGCAUGGCUGUCGUCAGCUCGUGUCGUGAGAUGUUGGGUUAAGUCCCGUAACGAGCGCAACCCUUAUCUUUAUUUGCCAGCACAUCAUGGUGGGAACUAUAAAGAGACUGCCGGUGAUAAACCGGAGGAAGGCGGGGACGACGUCAAGUCAUCAUGGCCCUUACGACCAGGGCUACACACGUGCUACAAUGGGAAGGACAAAGGGUCGCAACCUCGCGAGAGCAAGCUAAUCUCAUAAACCUUUUCGUAGUCCGGAUCGGAGUCUGCAACUCGACUCCGUGAAGUCGGAAUCGCUAGUAAUCGUAGAUCAGAACGCUACGGUGAAUACGUUCCCGGGUCUUGUACACACC